rnacentral:tRNA from 1 species
GCCUUCGUGGUGUAAUGGUCAGCACACUGGGCUCGUAUUCGAGAGAUCCGAUCCGAGGUUCGAGUCUCGCGAGGAUA